CUCAAAUGUCCAACACACAGCUGACCCUGAGUUCCCUAAUCCUGCCUUUGACCUGGCCCUGCUCAGCUCUUUGGAAUGUGGUGGGACUGCACCCUUCAUAGCUGGAAAAUGUUUUUCCUUAAAAGAAACAUCACCAGAAAAAUCUGGCUCUAAACCAAAGAACAGCUGUAAGUAACCUGAGAUGUGCUCAUUUUUCUCCAUUGUGCCCUCAGAGAACUUAAAAGUAAGGGAAUGGCAAUUUGCAGGAAUUUGGGAUUUGUUGCCAGUUGUGAUCUGAGUUUUCUGUGAUUGCUUAACCUUCCAACAGUGCUACAGACUGUAGAAAAAAUAAUGAUAGAAAUUAAGGUGGACCUUCAGGAUAUCUUUAUUAAGCAUACUUGUGAGAAUGGUUGCAGCAAAAUUGUUUGCAGCUGGCCACUGAUGUAUGGGUACUUCAGGAGCAAAGCCCAGAAGAUUUGAAAUACCCAUUCAGUAUGAGAGGGCUGGCAAUGGCAGCCAGGAGGUUCUUGUUUGGGAGUACAUGGCUUCAGUGUGUAAGAACAUAGAUAACCAGGAGAAUUCAAUUAUAUAUAAAAUAGUUGGUGGUAUGGAAACAAGUGGACAACCCAGAACUGAUGUUAAGCAAUAGACUUCGAAUGGACUUCAGCAAGAAACUGGAAACAAUAGAUAACACAGAGGAAAGUCUACAAGCACAGAAAAGUACAGGCAAUUGAAAUAAUUAAAUGAUGAAGAAAAAGAUACAAGGAAAGCAAGUGUGGGAACACGUACAUAAAUUGCCAAGUUAAGGUUCUUCAUUUUAAUUCCUUUUUUUCUCCUUUAGGGCAUUCAUUAAGAGAGCAGGUUUCUAGGCUUGACUGAUUACAAUGAAUUGUUUUAUUUUGGUCAAAUGCUUUGCUGUUGUACAAGGUACGUGAGUGCAUUCUGUAACAGUUACCAUAAUCGUACUUAUAAAUUCUAAUGACAAGCAAGAAGAUUUCCCUUCUGUAACAGGCCAUAUGGUGAAGGACAGAAGAGGAUUGUAGUCUAAUUAAGUUUGGAAGUCUCUGGUGUUGCCCACUGUUCAAGCAAAGAUCGCUUGUGUGCUGAAACAAGGUUGCUCAGGGCUUUACCUUAAGAAGACUUGAAAAUCUUCAGGGAUGGUGAGCGUAGACUCCUUGGGCAUUCUGUUCCACUGCUUGAACAGUCAGUCUCAAGAUGGAAAUGCUUUUCCAUGUACCCAGUCUGAAUCUCGUUUAUUUUUUUAAUGUUUGCUGCAUCUCACUGUCUCAGUGUGCACCUCCAUAAAUAGCCCAGCUCUGUGUUCUUAAGAAUCCCCUUGUAUGUGUGAGCAGGCUGCCUUUAGGUCUCCUUGUACUCACGUUUUCUCCAGGCUUGAAAAGGCCCCAUUCCCUUAGCCCGUACUCACAGUGCAAGUGGUGCUGCCCCCUACCAGCAUGGGGACCUUCUGCUGAACCUGCCCAUUUAGCGACAUUCUUACUGUGUUGGCUAGCUCAAAACUGAACGCAGUAUCCAGGUGUAAUCUCAUCACUAGAGGGGGAUAGUCCCUCCCCUCAGUGUCCUUUCAGUGCCCCUGUGAACAGCUCCCUAAGCCUGAUCCUAUGAUCCCAGUCAUCCACUUUUUUUUUUUUUUUUUUUUUUCUCCAUCUACCAGUCUAUCCAUUCAGAAUAUAAUGUUGUGGGAGAGUGUGGAAAGCCUUGUUACAUUAAAGGAAGUUGGUAUCCGCUGCUUUCUCUCUGUCUUCAAUCUGGUCAUUUUAUUCUAGAGGCAAAGUUUGAGCCUUUAGCAAGGCAGUGGAGCAUUCUCUCAAACUCUUAUAUAAAGCUCUAUAUUGCUUUGGAAACUGGAUGAAAGACAUAAUUUUAGUGCCUGGCUGUAAAAGCAGAUGUAAGCAAGAGUUUAGGUUAAUCAGAGGCUGGGGAUACUUCUGUAAUAAAGAGCCUAUAUGGAAGAGAUGGACUUAACUG
rnacentral:lncRNA from 1 species